AUGCCCAUGAUCUCUUCCUGCCUCUUCCGAUCUGCUCACCCUUUGCUGUCAUCAACAAUAACCCUGAUGGUAAAUAUAAUAAUAAUAAUAAUAAUAAUAAUAAUAAUAAUAAUAAUAAUAAUAAUAAAUAAUAAUAACAUGAUUGUCUGUUUCUGUCCAUGCAGUCAGAGUUUCGGCAUGUCCAGAGGGUGGCUGUGGGGUGCCCCCUCCAGCAGGACAGGGUUUUUCUGGAGCCUGGAGGUGCUGCUGCUCUCCACGGGAGACGAGAGGAGCAGCAGGACAGCCCAGCCACUCGAUGCUCUGCAGCCACCACCAGCUGAUUUAAACAACCCAAGGGAAAUUGGUGCUGAACCACAGAAGGCAUCUGUCUGGGAAAGGACAGGAGAGGAACGGGAGCAACUCCUGUGGCUGCAGACCAGAGGUGGUGAUGCGUGCUGAAUGGCAGCGAGUGCUGAAAACAUCACUGCUCUCCCUGGUACAAAGAAACAGCAUGGGGCAUGGCAGCUGCAGCAGAUGAGGAUGCAGGGAAAGGGUGGAGAGGGCUUAAAAUCCCUCAUGAGGGGUGAGAGAAGCGCUGCCUGCCUCUGUGUCCACCAGCCUGCAGGCAGGAGGAGGACAGGGAAAGGUAGUGAUAGAGUCUGGCGUGAGAGACCCAACCCGGGACUGGUAAUUAUACUGGGAAUACCAGCUAUAUGCUGUUCUGCCUCCCCUUCAACAUUUGCGAUGGGUGCUGAGGAGCCCGGGGGAUGCCCCUGAGUUCCCCGGGGUGGGAUCCACAAUCGGCUGGAAGUGCCCCAGCAAGGAACCAGCAAUGAGGCAGCGACAUCCCAAAGCACGGCUUUUGGGGGUGUAGAUCCACAGCACACAGCGAAGCAAUUCUGGCAGUGAUCAGUGUCGUGUCUGGCCGUUUGUCCCAGCACGUGCUGCCUCGCUCUGUAGUCUGCCUGCAGCAGCUUAGGGUGUUUAACAUGGACCUGUUAAUAAAACUGCAGGUAGCUGUAACUUAUGUUAGUGU
rnacentral:lncRNA from 1 species